CCCUAUUCGUGAGUCUGUUGUCUUUUUCGCGCUGCAUUGGAUUUACUUCUGUUUUUUCCUGUUUUUGCUACAGUUUUGCGUGCUUGGAUGCACAUACCUGUUCCGGAGGUUUUUGUGAAGAGUGAUCCGUGGAUUCCUUUGCUCAGUUUUUCGUGCUGGCUCUCCUCCUCAAACUAGUUGGCAAAUACCCAGCCGGGGUGAGGGCCCCUUCCCGGAUACCCACGGAUGCUCGCCUGCUCAGCCCUCUGGUCACUCCAUCUGUCUCUUCAGCCUGCGGUAGUCACCUCGGGUUCCUCGCCAGACUCCAUCUGCCGCCCUCCAAUCACCACCCACACAUCAGAGUAGACAGUAGUACCUUGACCAUAACCUCCCCAGUCCGACACUCACCGACUAAGGUCAACCCCGCCCAGACGUUCAGGCCUCGAUCCCGGCGUCCAGUCAUAGCUCCGUGUAUUUGCUCUGUUCCUUUAAUAAAAACUCUUAAACUGA